UGACAAUAAAUUAAUAAAUGUAAUGAUAUGAUUUAUGGAUAAUUCUAAAGCUUAAAACUUAUUUACUAGUUCAAAAAAUAAGAAGAUAAUAAAAAUUGGAGCUCCGUUAUAAUAUUGGAGUAAAAUAAAUAUUAUUUUAAAAGAAUGACUGCAAAUUUAAGUCGAAGGAUGAACUUGAGGUAUUGGGUGGGCGGAAAGUGAAAGAGGCGUUACUUUGUUUGCUUCAGGGGAAUUUAAACUCCGCCCAGAAUCCCAACUCCACUAUAUCCGAUCAGCGCGAGCGCGGAGUAGAUUAC